rnacentral:misc_RNA from 1 species
CUAUUAAAAUUAAAUUUCAAAAUUUUCAUGUAAAAAUUAACUUUAAUUAUAAUCAUUUUAUUAUGUUACAUAUGAACUAAGUAAAAAUGCCACGUCCACUCCUAAAAGAUACAAUCAAGAGCGGUAAGUUAAAUUAAUUUUUUUGACAGUAUAACGCAUAAUUAACCAUAAUUAAUAAUAGAAAAUUAAUUCUAGAAUAUGUUAUCGAUGAAAAUCGUAGACCAUCGAAUAAAACAAUUAAAUUUAAAAAAUCCUUAACUGCAGCAAGUCGUAAAUUUAAUUUAACUGUGAAAAAUCGAGAUCGUUUAAUAGGAGGAGCAGAUGCUCCUGAGGAACAAAAAGACAUAAUGAAACUGCCAGAAGAAACAGUGGAAGAAAAAACUCGUACAGCUGGACCAUGCUGUACUUGUUUGGCGCAAGUACCAGGAUCAACCGGUUGGUGUUCGUCGAUAUACUUGGUCGAAUACAACAAUGGAGCGGUUUGGUACAAAACAAAUUGGAUAUUUGUAAUAAUGAAAUCGAAACAUUGCGUGAAGAAUUAAUAGCACGAGCUUGUGAAAUCGAAAAUUUAAAGAAUUUAUUGGGAGAAUGUGAGAAAGAACGUGAAGCUGCUCUAAUUCAAGCGGCUAAAGCACAAAAAGAAGCAAUUGAAAUUGGAGAACGUUUUGAAAAUUAUAAAAAACAAGAAGAAGAAAGAAGAAAAAUGAUUUCAGAAAUAACUCCAAAAACUCCAGAAAUAAAAGAAGUAAAAGAACCAAUAGAAAUAAAAGAACCAAAAGAAAUAAAAGAACCAAAAGAAGUAAAAGAACCAAAAGAAAUAAAAGAAGUAAAAGAAUUAAAAGAACCAAAAGAAAUAAAAGAAAUAAAAAAACCAAAAGAAAUAAAAGAAGGAAACGAGCUUGAAAAAGAAAAGAUAGAAAUUAUUUGCACAGAUGCAGCUAUUCAAUCAAUUUUGAAAGACAAAGAAAAAAGACGAGAAAUUGAAGUAAAUUAAAGAUUUUUUUAUUUUUUAUUGUAAAUAUAAGUAAAAUAUAUUAAAAUAACAAUUUGUUUAAAUAGCUUGAAGGUGAAAUAGCAAGACUCCGCAAAGAAAAUGAACGUAUUAUAAAAGAACGUGUUGAAUAUGAGAGUGCGAUACAACGAGCAUUACUUCGAGGUGUUUCAUCUUUGAAUGUUGAAGCAUUGAAAGUUUUACGUUGUCCACCAAUUCCAUGUUGUACUCCUUGCGCACCUUGUCCUGCUUCUGCUAUAGAAUCGGUUGUACCAUGUGCCAAGAAAAACACUAGGAUCGCUAAAAACUGCGGCACUAAAAAUAUCGAUAACGGAAGUGCCGUUCGUGAAAAUUGCAAAAUUAUGAAACAACCUUGCGCCAGUCCUUGUUGUUCUGCUG